GAUGAACGCUGGCGGCGUGCCUAAUACAUGCAAGUCGAGCGAACAGACGAGGAGCUUGCUCCUCUGACGUUAGCGGCGGACGGGUGAGUAACACGUGGAUAACCUACCUAUAAGACUGGGAUAACUUCGGGAAACCGGAGCUAAUCCCGGAUAAUAUAUUGAACCGCAUGGUUCAAUAGUGAAAGACGGUUUUGCUGUCACUUAUAGAUGGAUCCGCGCCGCAUUAGCUAGUUGGUAAGGUAACGGCUUACCAAGGCAACGAUGCGUAGCCGACCUGAGAGGGUGAUCGGCCACACUGGAACUGAGACACGGUCCAGACUCCUACGGGAGGCAGCAGUAGGGAAUCUUCCGCAAUGGGCGAGAGCCUGACGGAGCAACGCCGCGUGAGUGAUGAAGGUCUUCGGAUCGUAAAACUCUGUUAUUAGGGAAGAACAAAUGUGUAAGUAACUAUGCACGUCUUGACGGUACCUAAUCAGAAAGCCACGGCUAACUACGUG
rnacentral:rRNA from 1 species